GGGCAGUUGGCACAGUGGUAGCUUAGAGACGGAGAAUCCCCAGGACUCUUCCUGUGAACUGGAUACUUCGUUGAGGCUUCGACUAGGGUGAGGUCGUGGGUUCGAUCCCCACAUUGUCCG